UACGUAGGGGGCAAGCGUUGUCCGGAAUCAUUGGGCGUAAAGAGCGUGUAGGCGGCUCGAUAAGUCUGCUGUGAAAGUCCAGGGCUCAACCCUGGAAGGCCGGUGGAAACUGUCGGGCUAGAGUCCGGAAGAGGCGAGUGGAAUUCCCGGUAUAGCGGUGAAAUGCGCAGAUAUCGGGAGGAACACCAAUGGCGAAGGCAGCUCGCUGGGACGGAUCUACGCUGAGACGCGAAAGCGUGGGGAGCAAACAGGG
rnacentral:rRNA from 1 species